UGUGUAGGCGGUUUUCUAAGUCUGGUGUGAAAUCUCCCGGCUCAACUGGGAGGGUGCGCCGAAAACUGGAAGGCUAGAGUACUGGAUGGGUAAGUGGAAUUCCUGGUGUAGCGGUGAAAUGCGUAGAUAUCAGGAGGAACACCUGUGGUGUAGACGGCUUACUGGGCAGUAACUGACGCUGAGACACGAAAGCGUGGGUAGCAAACA
rnacentral:rRNA from 1 species